rnacentral:lncRNA from 1 species
CUGGGCGACCGGCGCGCCGCCUCGCGGUGCCAGCCCGGGAGCCCGGGAGCCCGGGCGCGGGACCAGGCUACGCGGGGCGCUGGGAGGGGACUGGUGGCCCGAGGCGGGUGGGUCGCGGGGCCCGGCUCCCCGCCCGUGGGACCGCGCGCCCUCGCCGAGCGCAGCCUCCCCGCGUGUGGGGCCCCAGCACGUGGCGCAUCCCUGCGCGCGUGCGCGUGCAGCCGGGGCCCGAGCGCCACGUGCGAGCUGGGGUGCGCGGGCACUGGUGCGUGCCGGGAGCGGGGACGCCCUGCCCUCCGAGGUUGCUCUGCCCUCCGAGGUCGCCCGCAGCUGCCGCCCGCUCUGGGCUUGGGGACCUCGGCCCUGCGCCUUUCCGCACUCCUGGCAGGUGCAGCCCCAGGAGGCAAUGGGGCAGGCAAACUGGAUGGUGCCCCAGGUGUAGCAAGCUUGGAAGGCUUCAAAGGACGGGACAAGUUUGGCCUGGACAAGUUUCCUCCUAGAAGUCACUUAAUCUGCAAAAUCAAGAUAAGACCAUUUUCCCCAUGUGACUUGACAAGACAAUAUUAAAGCUCAAGGCGCUGAAGACAUAAGCUGUAUUGUAAAGCUAUGUGUUAGCUCAGAACUACGUCUUCAGUGACAACAUAAUGAAGACUAGACGUGACCCUUGACUUUAAGAGCUUGAUCGUGCAUAGGAGGGACAGCAUCUUGGAAAGCAUGUAUAAGAUGUGCCUGCCUCCGCUUCACCUACCACC